rnacentral:rRNA from 1 species
UGGGGAAUCUUGCACAAUGGGGGCAACCCUGAUGCAGCGACGCCGCGUGAGUGAUGAAGCCCUUCGGGGUGUAAAGCUCUUUCGACGGGAACGAUAAUGACGGUACCCGGAGAAGAAGCUGCGGCUAACUAAGUGCCAGCAGCCGCGGUAAUACGUAGGCAGCAAACGUUGUUCGGAAUUACUGGGCGUAAAGAGUGUGUAGGCGGUUUUGUAAGUUUGGUGUGAAAUCUCCCGGCUUAACUGGGAGGGUGCGCCGAAAACUGCAAGGCUUGAGUGCUGGAGAGGAGAGCGGAAUUCCUGGUGUAGCGGUGAAAUGCGUAGAUAUCAGGAGGAACACCGGCGGUGUAGACGGCUCUCUGGACAGUAACUGACGCUGAGACACGAAAGCGUGGGGAGCAAAC